UACGUAGGGGGCGAGCGUUGUUCGGAAUUACUGGGCGUAAAGGGCUCGUAGGCGGCCAACUAAGUCAGACGUGAAAUCCCGCGGCUUAACCGGGGAACUGCGUCUGAUACUGGAUGGCUUGAGUUUGGGAGAGGGAUGCGGAAUUCCAGGUGUAGCGGUGAAAUGCGUAGAUAUCUGGAGGAACACCGGUGGCGAAGGCGGCAUCCUGGACCAACACUGACGCUGAGUGAGCGAAAGCCAGGGGAGCAAACGGG
rnacentral:rRNA from 1 species